GAUGGAGUAGCUUGCUACAAAGUUGGAAAGCGGCGAACGGGCGAGUAACACGUUGGUAUCUGCCCCUUGGUCAGGGAUAGCCAGUCGAAAGACUGAUUAAUACCGGAUAGUCUCUUCGGAGUAAAGAUUUAUUGCCAAGGGAGGAACCUGCGUCCUAUCAGCUAGUUGGUGAGGUAAAAGCUCACCAAGGCAAUGACGGGUAGCUGAUCUGAGAGGAUGAUCAGCCGCAAUGGAACUGAGACACGGUCCAUACUCCUACGGGAGGCAGCAGUGAGGAAUCUUCCACAAUGGGCGCAAGCCUGAUGGAGCGACACCGCGUGAAGGAUGAAGGUCCAACGAUUGUAAACUUCUUUUCUGGGGGAGCAUAAUGAGAGUACCUCAGGAAUAAGGGACGGCUAAAUACGUGCCAGCAGCCGCGGUAAUACGUAUGUCUCGAGCGUUAUCCGGAAUUACUGGGUGUAAAGAGUUCGUAGGCGGCGAAUUAAGUUAGGUAUGAAAGACCGGAGCUCAACUCCGUGUUUGUGCUUAAAACUGGUUUGCUAGAAUUAGGGAGAGGUAAGCGGAAUUCUAAGUGUAGGGGUGCAAUCCGUAGAUACUUAGAGGAACACCAAAAGCGAAGGCAGCUUACUGGAACUAUAUUGACGCUGAGGAACGAAAGCGUGGGGAGCGAAAAGGAUUAGAUACCCUUGUAGUCCACGCCCUAAACGAUGAUAACUUGGUGUUGGGAGCAAUCUCAGUGCCGAAGCUAACGCGAUAAGUUAUCCACCCUGAGGAGUACGGUCGCAAGAUUAAAACUCAAAGGAAUAGACGGGGACCCACACAAGCAGUGGAUCACGUGGUUUAAUUCGACAAUAAACGGGGAACCUUACCCAGACUUGACAUCUA
rnacentral:rRNA from 1 species